AUGAAUCUCCAUUCUGUCAUUCUGCUUUCUGCCUUUGCAUCUGCGGUCUUUGGAAAUGUCAUCAAACCAAACAACACCGAUGUUGUUUAUAAGGAGGGUUCAAGUGUUACAUUAUUCUGUAGUCAUUCACCUGCAGCUAACGAUUAUAUCCACUGGUACCGUCAGUAUGAAAGAUCAAAACCUGAAUUUCUUGUACUCAUCUACAGUAGUGCAAAAGAAGCUGAGGUGUCUGAUGUAGAUCCAAGAUUCUCUGUUAAAGUUGAAAAAAGGGAGAAAAUCCAUGUGGAUCUGAAGAUCACCACUGCUGCUGUAUCAGACUCUGCUCUGUACUAUUGUGCUCUGCAGCCCACAGUGACAGGAAACACAAGAACACUGUACAAAAACCUGAUACACACCACUGCAUCUACAUAACACAUAUCCAACCUUCAUAUCUGCUAUAGUUUACAUAAGGAAACACUCUUCUAAUCAGCAAAAAGUAGUAUUAUAUACAUGGAUUGUCAUUCAUAACAUUAAAAGUCAUAACAGAAAAGGAGACUUACAAACAUUCACUUAAAAGAUGUUACACUUAAAAGAAGAAGAUAUCAAACUCAUAAAAUCAUAAAAAUCAACUUUAGAUGCAUUUAUUCAAUUACUUCAUUCUUACAUUAU
rnacentral:lncRNA from 1 species